rnacentral:lncRNA from 1 species
AUAGUAAGUCCUCAAUAAGUUCUAGCAAUUAUUAAAAAAGGAAAGGCUGUCUGCAAACAGGUACAUCCCAGCCUUCUUGCACAUAGAAACACUACACAGCACUUCAGCUGUAUGUUUGGGGGCCAUUUUAAACAGCAAAAUCAUCAACAGGAAGCAGAAAAUUGUAAAAAUUGUGGCACUAAAUAGACCAUGUAAAGGACACAUGUUUGCAAUAAGAAAGCUGAAACAAGAAGGGGGAGUGUCACCUUAUUUGAUCCAGCUAGAAACUCAGGUGCUGGUAUUCCAGCAACACUCAGGCGGCUGCUCCAGGAGGCUGCAGAGGGGUCCUUUUUAGCCGUCAACAAAACUGGCUAUGGUCACGCCCAUUGGGAAACUCAUUGCUGCCUUCAAGGACUCAGAAGCUGUAGGAAUAUUCAGGCACAGACACCAGACCCAGCUUCAUCUCUAACUUGUGGCAAAGGACAGUACAUCCUGGGAUGGGACCCUAUGCUCCCCUAUGCCAUUUAGACAGAGCCUGGGGAGAGUGACUUCCCAGGGUAUCCAUGUUGGAAUCUCUCAUUUGAUUCUUAUUCAAAUUUAGGUUCUGUCAAUAGAAGAUACUAAAGAAAGAAAGCCAGGAGAAGAAAAGGGACUUCUUUCUUCAAGGUCUAAGCUGUUCUAAUAGCAUUAUUCUGGGAAUGGCAUCUUCCACUCCUCCUAGUACAAAGAACCUGCUUCCUCAUACCCCGUCAAGGAACUGCAGCAUCCAGGUGAUGGCCACAGUGGCAGAACCUAGGAAGCCAAGAAGAAACCAGAGAAUGGAGACACAUGGCAGCAAUGGCAAGUCAUCAGACCCAGGAUUUCCCAAAGAACACUGGUCCAGGAAGAUGCUCUGUGAAAAAGUGUUCCCUGGUCGGAGAAAUUUGUGAAACACUUUGCAUAAUACUUAAAAGAAUGUAUGGCACAUCAAAGGUAAUAUGCAAUAAAAGAAUUCAUUUUUUUAAAA